rnacentral:rRNA from 1 species
AGAUUGAACGCUGGCGGCAUGCCUUACACAUGCAAGUCGAACGGCAGCACGGGAGCAAUCCUGGUGGCGAGUGGCGAACGGGUGAGUAAUAUAUCGGAACGUGCCCAGUCGUGGGGGAUAACGCAGCGAAAGCUGUGCUAAUACCGCAUACGACUACUAUGGAUGAAAGGCGGGGAUCGCAAGACCUCGCGCGACUUGGAGCGGACCGAUAUCACGUAUUAGCUAGUUGGUAGGGGUAAACGCCGUAACAAGGUCCGACGACUC